GACGAACGCUGGCGGCGUGCCUAACACAUGCAAGUCGAACGGAACUUCUUUAAAGGAUUUCUUCGGAAUGAUUUUGAUUAAGUUUAGUGGCGGACGGGUGAGUAACGCGUGAGUAACCUGCCUCUGAGAGGGGAAUAACAUUCUGAAAAGAAUGCUAAUACCGCAUAACAUAUAUUUAUCGCAUGGUAGAUAUAUCAAAGAUUUAUCGCUCAGAGAUGGACUCGCGUCCGAUUAGUUAGUUGGUGAGGUAACGGCUCACCAAGACCGCGAUCGGUAGCCGGACUGAGAGGUUGAACGGCCACAUUGGGACUGAGACACGGCCCAGACUCCUACGGGAGGCAGCAGUGGGGGAUAUUGCGCAAUGGGGGAAACCCUGACGCAGCAACGCCGCGUGAAGGAUGAAGGUCUUCGGAUUGUAAACUUCUUUUAUUAAGGACGAAGAAAGUGACGGUACUUAAUGAAUAAGCUC
rnacentral:rRNA from 1 species